rnacentral:lncRNA from 1 species
GCCGCCGCCUCGGCCUUUCGCUGGGGCCGCGGGCGCCUCCGCGGAACCGGGCCUCGGGGGCAGUUUUUGCAGCCGCAGAAGUUCCCCCCCUCGGUCGGCAGAAGCCCCCAGCCCUGCGAGGUCCGCGGGCGGGACCGAGCGCUCCUCCGCCGGCUCUCACCGCCCAGCCGGCUCCUCCAUCGUGCCCCCUUGGCCGUGGCUUGCCCCCGUCUGGGAAGCCGCUGUGGAAAAAAAGGCGAGCAGGGGAAAAGAUUUUGAAAGGGACUGGAAAGAAAUUGGUGGAAAUGGAAGCUUAUCGAUGCCUAUGUCCAGAGCCUUCCACAAAUGAGAUGAGACGUUUUACCUGUGAAACCUGUAUGUGAUAAAGGUAAAUGAUAUGCUUUUCUAUUUCUUGAAUUUGUAGUUAAUUAAAUGAAAGAGCCUUUCUAUAUACAUUUCUGGUCAGCAUCACAUUCCUUGGGCAUCACGUUUUAGAAAAACAACUUCUAGAUUUACCAAGAUAGAUUAAAAAAGCUGUAUAUCUUCAGCUUACUAGUGACUAGGUUAAGAUUUUUCUCAAGUUCUGACAUGCAACUCUGACCUGCAAUUGUGUACCUACAAUUCCAGCAGCAACACGAUCCAAGCGUGAGAUCCAUGAGAGCAGGAAGUGGGCAGGAGUCUGAGAAUCCACAGGACCCUGAUAAAUGGCAUUUUCUAGCAUAAAAAUCAGAAAUGGUAAAAUAAAAUCCAAAGACUGAGACA